AACGUAGGUUCCGAGCGUUAUCCGGAUUUACUGGGCGUAAAGCGCGUUCAGGCGGUUUGGCAAGUCGGGCAUGCAAUCUCUCGGCUCAACCGGGAGAGGUUGUCCGAUACUUCCAGACUUGAGGGCAGUAGAGGGUGGUGGAAUUCCGGGUGUAGUGGUGAAAUGCGUAGAUAUCCGGAGGAACACCAGUGGCGAAAGCGGCCACCUGGACUGCACCUGACGCUGAGGCACGAAAGCGUGGGGAGCAAACAGG
rnacentral:rRNA from 1 species